GUAAGGAAAGAGUCACCCAUUUAAAGAGCAUCAUUUCCAGGCUGAAGAACAUCCCACAAGAAAAACAGACAGUAAUCAGUAACAGAGGCAAAGAAUGAUGGAGAGACUGCAUCCCAUGACAGCGUCUGAACCACAGGAGUCAUCAUCCUUUCACAGCUACCCCAUGUAUAACGUAUCAGCUGAUUGCUAUAUCUGGUCUUAGAAAAAGAGAUGCUUCAUUGGAAAUGCCCAACCAACAAACAGACAAGGAUGUGUUCAUGUGUUACACAAAGACUACUUCUCUGUUUACCUAUUGCUGACUCCCUGGAGAAGACUGUGGCAAAGUCUCCUGUGCACCAAGACUUAUUUCCAUGCUGAAUGCAACUAUGCGACCUGGUGAAGAUAAGAUAUAAUUCAGACUGGCCAAAAGUAAAUGACUGCUUCACAAGCUGUUCUGGGAACUGAUCAAUGUGCAAAUGUCAUAUCUUGCAGAGCUGAUUGAUCAAGUGACAAAGAGAAGAACAAGGGAGGCUUUCAUCCCUCUGCUUUCACAGGUCACUAUUUCAGCCUGUAUCCCCAGCUCUUCCUGUUUACACCUGCAGAUAACUCCUGGCUGACAAGAGAGGGGCAAAAGGCUUUUCCUGAGGAAAAGUGACUCCACAUGUUUGACUGUAGCACACUGAGAAGGAAAAAUAUGUUAUUCACUCACUUUCCCUUGAGAUCCAGAAUGCAGAAAUGGGUGGUUCGUAUCGUUCUCUCUGACUACUGAGUAGUAUCUCCAUCAGAAUGUAGUCCACAGGGUAAAUGUUAUUUUUCACAAUGUAUUUUGGAAAGCUGUUUGUAAACACUACAGUGAGUUCAAUAACACUCACAUUGAGGACAGUGAGAACUGGAAGAAAGAGACCUACAACUUGCAAAAGCCUAGAGGAAAAGGUAAGAGUUGUGUAAAAGAAAAAAGCAAGAAUGAGUAAGGAUCUCUAUUUGCCCUUCAGCUAUCCUCUCUCUUUUUUUUUUCUAUUAAAGCUUUGAGAAAAAGAAUGACAACAGUUCAUCUAUUUUAUUAACAUUUUUUCUUCCCUGGAGAAUUAGAUGGGUGCAGACAGCAAGGAAGGAGAGAAUUAUUUUAGGCUAAUAUCUUGGGUAUUAAUUAUAUACCUAGGGUAUAAUUAGGGUAUAGCUAAGAAUCCUGGGAUAAUUAUAGGAAAUAGAAAACUGAGGCUGAAUAUUUGAAAAAAAAAAAAUUUCUGUCUGUACUGAGCUGUAGAAUAGUUGCCCAAGAGAAACGUUCAUUGUUUUGCAUAUGUAAAAAGUGAUGGGCUACAAAUUGGGAAAUAUAUCUUAUAAAUGACCUUGUUUUCAAGACAUGCUUCUCGUGUUAAGUUC
rnacentral:lncRNA from 1 species